UACGGGGGGAGCAAGCGUUGUUCGGAUUUACUGGGCGUAAAGGGCGCGUAGGCGGCCACUGCAAGUCAGUUGUGAAAUCUCCGGGCUUAACCCGGAAAGGUCAACUGAUACUGCAGGGCUAGAGUGCAGAAGGGGCAACUGGAAUUCUCGGUGUAGCGGUGAAAUGCGUAGAUAUCGAGAGGAACACCUGUGGCGAAGGCGGCCCCCUGGUUGGAUACUGACGCUGAUACGCGAAAGCGUGGGGAGCAAACAGG
rnacentral:rRNA from 1 species